GUAGGGAAUAUUGCACAAUGGAGGAAACUCUGAUGCAGCGACGCCGCGUGAGUGAUGAAGGCCUUCGGGUCGUAAAGCUCUGUCGCAGGGGAAUAACACAAUGAAGGUACCCUGUAAGAAAGGAUCGGCUAACUUCGUGCCAGCAGCCGCGGUAAGACGAGGGAUCCUAGCGUUGUUCGGAAUCAUUGGGCGUAAAGCGGAUGUAGGUGGCUAUGUAAGUCAGAGGUGAAAGCCUGGGGCUCAACCCCAGAAGUGCAUUUGAUACUGCGUAGCUUGAGUGUCGGAGAGGUUACUAGAAUUGUUGGUGUAGUGGUGAAAUACGUAGAUAUCAACAGGAAUACCGGAGGCGAAGGCGGGUAACUGGCCGAACACUGACACUGAGAUCCGAAAGCGUGGGGAUCAAACAGGAUUAGAUACCCUAGUAGUCC
rnacentral:rRNA from 1 species